rnacentral:rRNA from 1 species
GAUGAACGCUGGCGGCGUGCCUAAUACAUGCAAGUCGAGCGAACGGACGAGAAGCUUGCUUUUCUGAUGUUAGCGGCGGACGGGUGAGUAACACGUGGAUAACCUACCUAUAAGACUGGGAUAACUUCGGGAAACCGGAGCUAAUACCGGAUAAUAUUUUGAACCGCAUGGUUCAAAAGUGAAAUACGGUCUUGCUGUCACUUAUAGAUGGAUCCGCGCUGCAUUAGUUAGUUGGUAAGGUAACGGCUUACCAAGGCAACGAUGCAUAGCUGACCUGAGAGGGUAGUGGGCAACGCGGGAACUGAGACACGGUCCAGAGGCCUACGGGAAGCAGCAGAAGGGGAUCUUACGCGAUGGACGAGAGCCGGACGGAACACCACCGCGUGAGUGAUGAGGGUCUUCCGAUCGGAGAACUCUGUAAUUAGGGACAAACAUAUGUGUAAAGAACUGUGCACAACUUGACGGUACCUAAACAGAAAGCCACGGCUAACUACGUG